CACGCCCUAAACGAUGAUCUCUAGUUUUUCGGAGUAUCGACCCUCUGAGAGACAAAGCUAACGCAUUAAGAGAUCCGCCUGGGAAGUACGGCCGCAAGGCUAAAACUCAAAGGAAUAGACGGGGACUUGCACAAGUAGUGGAUUAUGUGGUUUAAUUCGACGAUAAACGAAAAACCUUACCAAGAUUAGAAACUAAUUUGAAAGCUUUAAGAAAUUAGAGCCCUCGCAAGACAAAUUAGCAGGUGA
rnacentral:rRNA from 1 species